rnacentral:rRNA from 1 species
CCGGACAUGCCAAAGAUUUAUCGCUGGAAGAUGGCCUCGCGUCUGAUUAGCUAGUUGGUAGGGUAACGGCCUACCAAGGCGACGAUCAGUAGCCGGACUGAGAGGUUGGCCGGCCACAUUGGGACUGAGAUACGGCCCAGACUCCUACGGGAGGCAGCAGUGGGGAAUAUUGGGCAAUGGGCGCAAGCCUGACCCAGCAACGCCGCGUGAAGGAAGAAGGCUUUCGGGUUGUAAACUUCUUUUGUCAGGGAACAGUAGAAGAGGGUACCUGACGAAUAAGCUCCGGCUAACUAC